CCUACGGGUGGCAGCAGUGGGGGAUAUUGCACAAUGGGGGAAACCCUGAUGCAGCGACGCCGCGUGGGUGAAGAAGCGCCUCGGCGCGUAAAGCCCUGUCAGCAGGGAAGAAAAUGACGGUACCUGAAGAAGAAGCCCCGGCUAACUACGUGCCAGCAGCCGCGGUAAUACGUAGGGGGCAAGCGUUAUCCGGAUUUACUGGGUGUAAAGGGGGCGCAGACGGCGAGGCAAGCCAGGAGUGAAAGCCCGGGGCCCAACCCCGGGACUGCGUUUGGAACUGCGUGGCUAGAGUGCAGGAGGGGCAGGUGGAAUUCCUGGUGUAGCGGUGAAAUGCGUAGAUAUCAGGAGGAACACCGGUGGCGAAGGCGGCCUGCUGGACUGCAACUGACGUUGAGGCCCGAAAGCGUGGGGAGCAAACAGGAUUAGAUACCCGAGUAGUC
rnacentral:rRNA from 1 species